rnacentral:rRNA from 1 species
AUUGAACGCUGGCGGCAGGCUUAACACAUGCAAGUCGAACGGUAACGGGAAGGAAGCUUGCUUUCUUUGCUGACAAGUGGCGGACGGGUGAGUAAUGCUUGGGAAUCUGUUUUAUGGAGGGGGAUAACUACGGGAAACUGUAGCUAAUACCGCGUAAUAUCGAGAGAUUAAAGUGUGGGACCGCAAGGCCACAUGCCAUGAAGUGAGCCCAAGUGGGAUUAGGUAGUUGGUGGGGUAAAGGCCUACCAAGCCGUCGAUCUCUAGCUGGUCUGAGAGGAUGACCAGCCACACUGGGACUGAGACACGGCCCAGACUCCUACGGGAGGCAGCAGUGGGGAAUAUUGCACAAUGGGCGCAAGCCUGAUGCAGCCAUGCCGCGUGAAUGAAGAAGGCCUUCGGGUUGUAAAGUUCUUUCGGUGGUGAGGAAGGUUGGCGUGUUAAUAGCACGUUGAUUUGACGUUAGCCACAGAAGAAGCACCGGCUAACUCCGUGCCAGCAGCCGCGGUAAUACGGAGGGUGCGAGCGUUAAUCGGAAUAACUGGGCGUAAAGGGCACGCAGGCGGAUACUUAAGUGAGGUGUGAAAGCCCUGGGCUUAACCUAGGAAUUGCAUUUCAUACUGGGUAUCUAGAGUAUUUUAGGGAGGGGUAGAAUUCCACGUGUAGCGGUGAAAUGCGUAGAGAUGUGGAGGAAUACCGAAGGCGAAGGCAGCCCCUUGGGGGAAUACUGACGCUCAUGUGCGAAAGCGUGGGGAGCAAACAGG